AGCGAACGCUGGCGGCAGGCUUAACACAUGCAAGUCGAGCGGGCACUUUCGGGUGUCAGCGGCGGACGGGUGAGUAACGCGUGGGAACGUGCCCUCUGGUUCGGAAUAACUCAGGGAAACUUGAGCUAAUACCGGAUACGCCCUUUUGGGGAAAGGCUUGCUGCCGGAGGAUCGGCCCGCGUCUGAUUAGCUAGUUGGUGAGGUAACGGCUCACCAAGGCGACGAUCAGUAGCUGGUCUGAGAGGAUGAUCAGCCACACUGGGACUGAGACACGGCCCAGACUCCUACGGGAGGCAGCAGUGGGGAAUAUUGGACAAUGGGCGCAAGCCUGAUCCAGCCAUGCCGCGUGAGUGAUGAAGGCCUUAGGGUUGUAAAGCUCUUUUAUCCGGGACGAUAAUGACGGUACCGGAGGAAAAGCCCCGGCUAACUUCGUG
rnacentral:rRNA from 1 species